rnacentral:lncRNA from 1 species
UUUUUUUAAAAAACAGACUUUUUAAAAAAACAGAUUUUUGAAAAAAAACAGAUUUUUUUAAAAAAAACAGAUUUUUUUUAAAAAAUCAGAUUUUUUAAAAGACAAGUUUUUUAAAUUUUUUAAAUCUAUUUUUUUUAAAAUUCUGUUUUUUUAAAAAAAUCUAUUUUUAAAAUUUUUUUUAAAAAAAAAACAGAUUUUUUUUUAAAAAUUCUGUUUUUUAAAAAAUUCUAUUUUUUCAAAAAAUUGUUUUUUUAAAAAAACUGUUUUUAUUUUAUUAUGUUUUUGUUAUUUUUUAAACUUUAAAAUGUUAAUUUUUUUAUUUUUAAAAUCUGUUUUUGAUUUUUUUGUCACAUAAGCAAUAUUUUUUUUUCUUUGCCACGUCAGCGCCACAUAUACAAAAAUUAACGUCUGUCAACUUUUUUUGACGGAAUGACCCAAUUUGAAAAUAAUAAUUAGUUCAGUGACUUAAUUUAAAAAAUUAAAAGUUCAAUCGGGUAUUCAAUAAAAUGUGCCAACUUCGAUGGCCAAAUCAUUAGUUUUGCGGAUUGUUUUCACAUAAGUUGUUGAUUAGAUUAGCUGGAUCCAAAUUACUUGCUAAUGAUUGGUUUAUUUCACAUAAGUUGUCGAUUAGAUUAGCUGGAUCCAAAUUACUUGCUAAUGAUUGGUUUAUAAGGUGUAUCCAUGUACUGUCGUUUCAUGCAUGUCGUAAAAUCUGAUAAAUUGAUUCUACUUGAUUAUUUUCAUUCAACAAGUGAAAUGGAAACUCAUAAACUGAUGUUAUUGGUGGUGGUGAUGACAAUGUUGUACAUUGGGGUGGAUCUAGUUCAGUUAGUAAUGAUUUAAUUUUGCAAGCAAAGAGAGAUAAUAUUGUAUUAAGAAUAUCUAACUUGGAAUAAGAUUGUAGUUGAUAUGUUUAGAGGAUUUGUUUAGUGUUUUAUUUAAUGAAAUUAUGGAUGAUUGUUAUGCAUGAUAUGAUAUUGAAUUAAUGUAUCUUUUUAUUAUGUCCUUUUUAGUAAUCUUUAUAUUUGAUUUAAACUUAUAAGUCUUUAUCAACCGAACACCUUCAUAACUUGUUUCAACUUAAUUUUUGACUUUUGAUGUCAAACGCUUUUAUUUAUAAAUCACAACUUAAAAUAACUUAUAUGUCAAAUUAUAUUUUAACUUUAAGUCAUUUUAAAGUAAGUCGUUUGCCGAACGGGCUCUUAGAUUUGACAUUAUAAAUAUAAGUGUACGUGUGACACUUGCACUCUCAUAUACAACAUAUAUGGAGCAAGUACGUCUAACAAAAAGUAGAAAAUGAAAAUUACAUCUUUGACAAAGUAAACACGUCCAAAAUUGCCCACAAGGUCAUGCACGAGUCAUUUCAUUUUUGUUGGAAGUUUGGCCUGCAUAGUUUACCAAAGACGUACUGUAGAGUCGAAUAUUAAUAAUGUCCACUGAUUAAGCAACUUGUGUACAUGUUGUAGGGAUCGACCCCAUCCAUGUGGUCAUUGAUUAAGUGUUAUUGUUUUUGCCUUCAAGUUUCUCAUAGCCGUGUAUUUGGAGAACUCCAAGCAGAUAAGCAUUUCUAGUACUAUAAAAGGGAUACGCGCAUACCUACAUCAUAUAUAUAAAUGGCCGAGGCUAUUGUCUCUUUUGUUGUGGAAAAUAUUAGUGAUUUAUUGAAUGAAAAAGCUCAAAUUCUGAAUGGAGAGGUCAGGGGUCAAGUUGAAGAAGUUGUUGCCAAGUUUAGAUGGAUGCAGAGCUUCUUACGUGAUGCCGAUGCAAGGCAGAAAGAAGAGAGAGUCGGCAGAUGGAUUGCAGACUUGCGAGAGCUUGUCUACGACGCCGAAGAUGAACUUGAAAGCUUUGUUCUCAAAGCUUCAUCCUUAAAGAAAGGAGGCACCAAAAACAUAAUCAAGAGAUGCGUUUGUGUCCUUGAUAAUGAAAGCGUGUAUCGUCACAAAUUUGGGCGGGAGAUGGAAGCUAUUCAAAGAAGGAUGGCUGAGCUCACAACUCGUUUACAUGAGUAUAACAUCAAAUCAAUAGCGCCAGUUGCAUCCUCCUCUCAUGAAACACCAGGCAAGCUAAAACGAUUUUACUCUCGUGUUGUUGUUGAGCCACAAGUUGUGGGGUUGCAGGAGGAUGUAGAAAGCUUGGUGGCGCAUUUGGUGAAUGAAAGUGACGACGAGUGCAACCGAGUUGUGUCCAUAUGCGGAAUGGGCGGCAUAGGUAAGACCACUCUUGCUCAAAAAAUAUACAAUCAUCCCACUAUCAAGACUCACUUUUCAGGUAAUUUAGCUUGGGUUUCUAUAUCACAAAAGUGGGAAUUGAAAAAUGUGUUGCAACGAAUCAUUUUUUGUCUUGUUAAAGACCAAAAGAAGAGAAUGGAGAUUAUGAAUUUCGAAGAUGACAAAAUAAUGGAGUAUUUGCAUCAACUCCAACAAAGCAGAAAGUGUUUACUAGUUCUUGAUGACAUUUGGUCAAAUGAUGCUUGGGAUUGUCUAAAAGCUGCUUUUCCAAUUCAACAUUUGAAAAGCAAAUUAAUGCUUACAAGUCGUAAUGUCCAAGUUUGUAAGCAUGUUGAUCCAAAAGGCUUCCUUCACCAGCCACGACUUUUAAAUGAACAACAAAGCUGGGAGCUACUUCAGAUGAAAGCACUUCCAAAACAAAAUUCUUUCGGUAAAGUAUUACUUUUACUCCCUGCAGUCUUUACAUGAAUAUAUGUACAUACAUUUUUUAGAUAAUACUUCACUCGUUCUAAAAAAGUAAUAAGAUUAUUAUUUUCUUUUAAAAGUUAUUUUAAAAAAUUUCAAACUCAAAAAUAAGAUAAAUUAUUGAAACUUAUAAAUUCUACAAUGAGUCAAUACUUUUUAAAUAAUUUACAAUAUUUAUUAUUAUAUUGACUACAACUAAAGGAAUUUAUGCCCUUUUUGAAUUUGAAUUUUUUUUAAAUUGACGUCAGAAAGUCGAUAAUGAUCUUAUACUCUUGAACUGAAAAUCAUAAUUAAAAUUCUGUAUAUUGAAUAUGGUUAGGGCCGUAAAAGGACAUAUUUGAAUUCAAAUAUACUAAUAUUCAUAUUCGUAUCUGAAAAAUAAUAUUUUAUCCAUAUUCGUAUAUGAUAUUCGACAAAUUUCUUAAUGGUACCAUUCGAAUUCGAUAUUCGAAAAUUAUUUGAAUUCAAUUAUUAUCCGUUUCCGAAUCCGAAGUCAUUAGUAUAAUUAAUUAAAAUUAGUAAAUAAAUAAUUUAAAAUUUGAGAAAUUACUAUUAUGAUAUUAAUAUAACAUAACACAAUUAUCAACCAUGUUAUUAAAUUAUUAAAUUCAGAAGAACAAAAAUUAAUCACUCUAUAUUUCUUUAUGAAAGAUAUUAAAAAUAUUAUAAUUUUAUAAUAAGACCCGUUCAGAUAAAUAUGUUAGCGGACAGAUGUUAAACGGAUACGAAUAUACAUGUAUCCGUAUCCUUAUCCUUUUAUUUGUGAAUAUCUCUAAUCGAAUACAAAUAAUAACUGCUUUAAACGAAUACGAACAUGAACGAAUAUCCUAUUUUUCGAUUAACAUUUACAACCCUAAAUGUGGUCACAAAAUUUGUUGAAUUAUGGAUUUUUUUUUUGGCGGUAUAUACUAAUCAAUAUUAUUUCAUCUUAUUUUUCGUGCAACGAUUAGUGUCCUUUGAUGUCUAUACACAUUAGUCUGCGGUAGUGUUUGAUAUCAUCUUAUUGUCUCUGUUUGGCCUUUAUCUCUUUUUCGCGCAGAAGUUAUGUUGUUUAAUACUUUAAUUGACAAAAACUUUUCCAACCUCUUUUUAUCUUUUUUUUUAAAAAAAAAACAUUGAGCCAACUUUUUUUAAAAACGAGGCUCUUCAUUACUAUUUUACCCUCAUUAGCUUAAUUUCAUAUUUUUAAUUAUUCAUUCCACUUCUCACACUACACCAACCACCGCUACCCACCACCACCUCUCACCACAACCACCCACCCCAUCAUUCACUGCAAUUAUGGUGCAUAUAUAUGAUUGCAAUUAUUUUGGAAUUAAUUCUAAGAUGAAAAUUAAUUCUAUGGAUUGUUUAUUUUAUUUUUAAAAAAUCUAUCUAAAGUCUUAAAAUUUUAGAUAUGUUUUAAUGUAGCCUGUUCAUAUGGAAAAGGGAAAAACUAAGAUAUUUAAUUUCUAAACAUGAAAAAGUCAAUUUAAUAGUAAGUAUAAGAAUUCUUAGAAUUCUAAAUAUUCUAGAUUUAUAAAGCUAAUGAAAUCCAAAAUACUAAACCAAACAUAACCUAACCAAUUGUCAUGCAUAUCGUACAUUUAUAAGCUCGAUCAUAUAUGCAAGAUAUUGUAUUGGCAGUUAAUUAAUGUACAAGAGAAUACACAAUUUUUUUAUAUUCCAUUUCAAAAUGUAUCUAGCUAGCUAGGUUCAUCAUUUACUUAGCGUCGAUGAAACAUAAGGUAGAUUCUUCAGAUAUUUUCAAGCAGCAAUAAAAAGUUGCACUUAUUUUGUUUUUGUUUCAAUUGGUUUUAGACACCAGAUCAUAUGUUAAAGAGAUGGAAGUGUUAGGGAGGGAAAUGGUUGGACAUUGUGCGGGUCUUCCAUUGGCUAUAGUUGUGUUGGGAGGAAUUCUUGUAACGAAACCUACAUUGACUGAAUGGGAGAAGGUGCAUCAAGAAAUUCAGUCAUCCAUUAGGAGUGGUAAACGAAUGGGAGAAGAACAUCAAAGAGAAGUAUUAGACAUUUUAGUUUUGAGUUACAAUGAUUUACCAUAUCAAUUGAAGCCGUGUUUUUUAUAUUUGAGUAAAUUUGGCGAAGAUGCAGAGAUAGAUGCAGAGAAGCUAUAUCAAAUAUGGAUUGCAGAAGGUUUGGUAUUAUCGAGUGAUCGAAGGGAUGAUGAAACAAUGAUGGAAGUGGCUGAAUCUUAUUUGGCAGAACUGGUGCACAGGUGUAUGGUUCAAGUGAAAUUUGAGGAUGAAGAGGUAUCACUUAGAAAGUUUGAAUCUUGUCGCCUUCAUGACCUUAUGACAGACCUAUCACUAUCCAAAGCAGUAGAAGAAGAUUUUUUCAAGGUCUUUGAUCUUCGAAGAGGCAGUGAUUAUCAUCAUGAUGAGCAAUCUAUGGAAUAUUUUGCUUACACUCGACGACUUGUUAUUUUUUAUGUCAGGGGUGGAGAAUCUAGAGAUAUGAGGAGUACCAUCUCGUCAAGGAAGGAUGCCAGUCGAAGCUUACGAUCAGUCUUAUUGUUCAAUGUUGAGGAGUGGAGAAUGGAACGUUGGCAACCCUGGCAACCCAUAUUUAGAAUAAUGAAUCAAAUUGCCAACUUCAGGUUACUGAGAGUUUUAUCUUUUGAAGGAUUUUCAUUUGUUCAAGAGGCUAUUAAGUUGAAAGGGGAUGUGCCCUUUUUUCAUUAUAUGAUUAAGCUACCAAAAGUAUUAGGUACUCUUGUUCACUUAAGAUAUUUGAGUUUUAGGGACAUUAUAAUACUGAAGUUUCCAACAUUUAUAGAAAACCUAGAGCAGUUGCAAACCCUUGAUUUGCGUAUAUUGUUUUUCUAUCAGGCAAAACAUAUAGUGCCGAAGAUGGAACACUUGCGGCAUCUAUAUUUACCAUACGAUAAUAUAGUCGAUGACGAGAGAAAAUGUAAAUUAAGGUUUGAUGGGUUAAGCAAAAAGUUGGAGACACUUGAAAACUUUGAUACUCGUUGGUGUGAGGUUAAGGAUCUGCAGAAAUUAAACAGUCUUCGGAAACUAACAGUAAUUACAACCAAUAACCGCGUUGAAUUGGAAGAGAUCAUACAAUACUUGAGUAAGGCCUCCAGCUCUCUCCGGUACACAUCCCUUAGAAUUAGACUAUUGGAUGAAUAUAAUUUGGGAUGGGGAAAUGGUUCAUCUCCUUUGAAGAAGCUAUUGUGGUCUGAUCGUUACAAGCUCAAUAGAUUGCGAACAGAAGGGCCCAUCAGAGACUUGCUGGUAUUUGACAAUAAUAGCCAUACCGCUACAAGUACCCUCACCUCGUUAAUCUUUGAAAGUUCUGGGCUGGAGGAAGACCCAAUGCCAGUGCUGGAGAGGAUUCCUACGCUGCGUAAACUCUCAUUUUUGGAUGAUGCGGUUCUCGCGAGGGAAAUGGUGUGCUCUGCCAUGGGUUUUCCCCAACUCACAGAUCUUCAACUACAUCAUAUGCCCAACUUGGAAAAAUGGAGGGUGGAUCGAGGUAGCAUGCCCAAUCUCUCCAGAUUAAUUAUUUCCGAGUGUGUCAAGUUGGAGGAGCUGCCGGAAGGAUUAAAAUUCAUCAAUGCCCUCCAACAUUUGCAAAUAAUAGGGAUGCCUAAAAAAUUCUGUGAUAGGAUUCGAUUGGUAGGUGGUGAACAAGGACCCGACUUUUACAAAGUUGCACACGUGCCGUCCAUCAGUUUGUUUCUCUGAUGAUUAAUAUUGAAAAUUGAUAUUUUCACAAGUUCCAUAAGUUUUUUCUCGUAUGAAUAGUAAGUAAGAAUGUAUCUCAUGUGAGAAAGGAUUUGAUGAAACUAUUAAAGUGAAAUUAUUAAUUCUCUUAAUAUUAUGUUAGUUUCUUUUCUGCUAUCUCUCAUGUAUUCCAGAUCAUCUUGAGAGAGAGAGAGAGAGAAUCAACUAAUAUAUAUGUACUUCCAUUAGUUCCAUGCAUGUCCGUACUAUAUAUGGACUCGUAAAACUUAACUGUUGAUUGUUGUGUAUAUAUAAUUAAUAUUUCAAAUUGCCAAAUUGGAGUGUACUAUUUACACUUUCCCAAAUGAGGUAUUACAAUCGCCUCAUCUUGGGUUGGGAUUAACAAUUUUUAAACAAAAAAGGGUCAUAAUCUUUUUAAAAUAUUGACACAUGUACCCUUUUUCCUUACUAAUUAACUCGUGGAAUGUAAAAACAGUAUACAUAUUUGAAGCAAGAUUUGAGGAAGUGAUAUUCAUAUAUAUUUUAGAGAGAGAAAUUGGGUGUUUAAUUUUGUUGCUUCUGCACCUCAUUCUUUCAGAUAACUAACUAAUUAAGUACCCCACCCCAUGCUUCGAUCAUGUUACUACUUCAAACAAAAUCCUUUCUUUAAAUAUGAAUAUAUAACAACCCUCUCGGUAGGUAUAUCUCUUUUCCAGCAUCACAUAUACUAACAAAAAUACUCUAUCCUUUUUAAUAUAUAAGAUCAAAUUUAAUUUGUUGAAGUCAAAUGGAGUCCAUUUCAAACUUCAAAUCUGACGCAACUUAUUUAAAUUUUAAAAUAAUUAAUCUUAUAAUUAAUACUGCUUCUUAAUGAUUUAUAAAUAGUCACUUGUAAUUGGCUGAAAUUGAGUAAAAUUACCGUUGUAAUUUUCAAAUAUACUGAUGGAGUUAUCAUUUUUACCCGUUAAAGCUACUCCACUCCCAUUCCACAUGCACACAGAAGUAAGCUGCUUAAUCAAUGGGAUUUGCCAACCUCGAGGUCUCAUAAUUUGGAUUUUAGUGUCUCACAAUCCACUUAUAUAUAUAUAUAUAUAUAUAUAUAUAUAUAUAUAUAUAUAUAUAUAUAUAUAUAUAAAUUAAUUAGCAAAUGCACAAGGCUCCACAUGCACACAGAAGUAAGUUGCUUAAUCAAUGGGAUUUUCCAACCAACGAGGUCUCAUAAUUUGGAUUUUAGUGUCUCGCAGAUUUUACUAUAGGAUAAGUGGACAAUGAUUUUUGUCUCAUCAUUUGGCGCUAUAUGAUGGGCCUGCACAUAGUAAAUGUAUAAAUCAAGUUUCACCGUUAAUGCCCUGAAAUAAUGUCUUUUUUUUUUUUUAUAAUUCAGGGUGGGGGACUGAAGCAAUGAUCUUUUGCUUUACAAGAGACCUUGGAGUACCAAUUGAGCGGAGGCCAGUUGGUGACUGAAAUAAUGUCCACUACACUAACAUUCACAUUAUCAAAUCCUCUUCAAUCCACUAAUGAUAAUAACCAAGUACAAACAAUAUCCCUCUUUUGUAUCCCUCUUUUGUAACUAUUUAUUUGUCACCAAAGUACUAUUAUAUUUCAUCAGCAUUAUCACUUCUUUAAAACUAAUUAAUUAAUUAAUUAAAGAUAUAUAUAUAUAUAUAUAUAAUUAUUAUUUUCUUGUUUCUCUUUCUUUUGGUUUUUGGGCCAAUUUUUAAUUGCAAUCAGUCUUGGUUUUUCUUGUUUAGGAUGGGUACAACAUGAUUAAUAGGCAGUGGUCAGCAUGAACUUUAUUUUUAGGUAAGUUGGUCAAUUGAGAUUCUAUGUGUAUUUAUAUUUUAUUGGUCAAUUAAUCAACUUACUAAAAAAUAAUCUUGAUGCUAACUGGAUCCUGAUUUCCUGAUUAAUAUAUAUACUCCUCCAGCUAGCGUGCUCGCUGAUUAAUCAACUUGUGUUCGAGGGCUCCAUGCAUGUACUCAAUUAUUGAGCAACUUUGGUGUAUAUAUAUAUUCCUCCAGCUACUCCUGUACUAAUACCCGACUACUAAAAUUGAAGAUCUGCUCUGCUCUCUCUGCGCUCGAUCGUCAAUUUCUUGGCUUCUCCCUCCUCCCCUCCGCGGCUGUUACUCCUGCUACUCCUACUCCUUUGAUCGCUGCUAUUCCUUUGAUUACUGUUAGGUACCAAAUCCUAGACCUAAUAUUUGAUAUGUAUAUAUGUGUGAAUAAUGUUAUGUUUGAAUUUUUGGCAUGUGGUUUUUCUUUUCUUUAUCUCUCUUUAAUUUUGACUAUAGUUGCAGUGCCUGUGGAUUUCAAUUCAAUUCCUUUUUUUGUUAAUUUAUGUAGUUCAAAUGUUUGAUAGAUUGAAUGAAUUGUUGUAUACUUGGUAGUGCUUAAUUAGGAAUAUGUGAGCAGCUUAAUUUUAGUAAUUUUUAGUAACUUGGGUUUUUAACCUGGUUUCUGCUUAGCAAUAGGAUAUAAAUAUAUUGGUGCAAAAUUAUAUUUUUGCUCUAUACAUGAGUGUACUCUCAGUAACCUGUAAAAAUAAAGUCACAGAGAGAUGUAUAUGAUCAACAUCAAAUGAAAACUAAUAAUUAUACAAAAAAGAAAAAAAUGCAAGUUGAGGGUUUGGAAUUCUACCUUAUUGGCUGAUGGAUUGUUAUUCAUGGUGAUUGUUUCUUUGGAGCUUAAUCAAGUGAUAGUGAUGUUUUUGUGUGAUACUUUUGUUGUAUACUCUAGAUAUAAAAAUGUCAUUUUACUAUUUGAACCAAACUCUGUUUGAAACAUUUGUGUGUUCAAAAUGUUAAGUAUGUGACAAAAUUUAAUGUUUUGACUAUCAUUUGUUUGCAUGGUUGAUUAAAAUUUUUCUUGUUCAAUUUCUAUUUAACUGACACAUUAUGUAUGAGCUAUGUGAUUUUUUUUUUCAAAACUAUUUCUAAAAAUCAGAUCAAGGAUUAUAAGAGGUCAACCUAAAAGGUAAAUGUUAGUUCUUUAUCAUGGCAAUGCAUUUCAUAAUUUUGUCAAAUCAUCCAAAGGUAUGAAAGUAUUAAUUGUGUUCAACUUCUCUUAUUAUAUUUCUAAUAAACGAGGACAAAAGGAGUAUGUUACAAGAACUGAGCAAAAAUGGAAGGGUUAAUUUGAAUCAUCAUGUAAUGUAAUAUACAAUGAAGCACUCAUUCGUUUGCAAAUGAUAUACGUUCUGGGUAGUCAUAUGGGCAGCACACAUUGCCUAUGUUAUGUGAAUCUAUGCACACAAAGCAUGCAUUCACCACAUAUUUUCCCCUCUUCCACAUACUUCCACAUAGUAUCUUGAGGUGACAUCGACCCCCACACUGCUGUCCAGAAAUUAAGUGUAUUUUACCUUUAUUCCAAACGUGGGUUUUAUGUUAUAUUAUGAGUUAAUCUAGUUAUAAUUUGUUCCAGACACAUAAUACUUGUUUGCAUGUUCAAGGGAGGACAUACAUACAUGUAACAUCUCUCCCCUAAACAGGUGCUUACAUGGCUGUACUGUCCUGUACAGUGCUGUAUUUAUAACUUUUGUCCUGCAUCAUUUGUUUAAGCUAAAAUAUGAUAUCCAAAAAUAUUUUAUCAGCAUUUGGUUAAGUAGAUUUCAUUCUUCUCAUGAUUUUGUGGUAGUUAAUUUUUUUCACAUUACUCUUAAUGACUAGUCUUUAGAUGAUCUUAUAGUGAGCUUUGGUUUGAGUUAUUUGGUUAACCAGUUUGAGUUUGCUGCAUGGUUUUAAAACACAUGAAUAUAGAUUAUGUGAAGAAAUUUGAUUAUUGUGUAACACAUGAAUAUAGUUCAUUUAAAUUUUUGUUUCAGGUUUAUGAUGCUACAGUAUUGUUUCUUGUUCCUGAAUUUUUUAGUACUUUGAUAAUAGAAAUUUGAGUACUGUUUAUUGGUUUUUUGUUCAUUUUGAGUACUUUAGAUUCCUUGUUCCGGAGCAUUUGAUGCUUUCUGCUGAACAUAUGAUAAUAUGUGUUUAUUUGUUAUUACUGCUUUAUUCUUUUGAUCAGAAAUAUGAUUUUGGAUUUCCCAAGUAAUCCGAUCUAGUAUUUUUGAAUCUUUGUUCUAAGGAUAUGGAUAUAUUUCCUUCUGCUCUUUCGAGGAAUAUGGUUUUUGAAUCCUUCUGAAGUUUUGUUGAUAUGAAUUAUCAUUACGUGGAUCCUUUUGAAGAAGUGUUUUUGAUUGAGGUUUGAUCUCAGUUAUGUGACAUAUACACCAUUAAUGUUUGUGUGUCUCCAGAGCAGGUUUUGUUUUAGGAAAUAGUAAAAGAAUUUUAAAUAAAAAGAACAAUGUUGUUUGAGAAAAAAAAUAUUUUUAAGCACUUAUCUUGUUUCUUUUAAUCAUUCUUUCAGAACACUAAUAGAGCAUGGUUUUCUUAUGUCUCAUUCAUUAGCCAUUAUUGGUGCUUCAUAUUGGCUAUUGGAUCAACAGUUAAUAUGAUUGUUUUCACUUAAGUUGUUGAUUAGAUUAGCUGGAUCCAAAUUGCUUGCUAAUGAUAGGUUUAUAAGGUGUAUCCAUGUAUUGUCGUUUCAUAUGGAUGCAUUAUGCAUGUCGUACAAUCUGAUAAAUUGAUUCUACUUGAUUUUUUUCAUUCAACAAGUGAAAUGGAAACUCAUAAAUUGAUGUUAUGGGUGGUGGUGAUCAUAACAAUGUUGUACAUUGAGGUGAAUCUACUUUAGUUAGUAAUAGUUUAAUUAUGCAAGCAAAGAGAUAUUAUAUUGCAUUAAAAAAAUUUAACUUGGAAUAAGAUUGUAGUUGAUAUGUUUAGAGAAUUUACUUAGUGUUUUAUUUAAUGAAAUUGUGGAUGAUUGUUAUGAUAUGAUAUUGAGUUAAUGUAUCUUUUUAUUAAUAUCCUUUUUAGUAAUCUUUAUAUCUGAUUUUAACUUAUAAGUCAUUAUCAGUCGAACACUUUCAUAACUUGUUUUAACUUAAUUUCUAACUUAUAAGUCAAAUUGAUACCGAACGCUUUUACUUAUAAGUCUGAACUUAAAAUAAUUUAUAAGUCAACUUAUAUUUGAACUUUAAGUUAUUUUAAAAUAAGUCGUUGCGGAAUGGGCUCUUAGAUUUGCCAUUAUAAACAUAAAUGUACGUGUGACACUUGCACUCUCAUAUACAACAUAUAUGCAGCAAGUACGUCUAACAAAAAGUAGAAAAUGAAAAUUACAACUUUGACAAAGUAAACACAUCCAAAAUUGGCCACGAGGCCAUGCACGAGUCAUUUCAUUUUGUCAUUGUUGGAAGUUUUGGCCUGCAUAGUUUACCAAAGACGUACUGUAGACUCAAAUAUUAAUAAUGUCCACUGAUUAAGCAACUUGUGUACAUGUUGUAGGGAUCGACCCCGUCCAUGUGGUCAUUGAUUAAGUGUUACUGUUUUUGCCAUCGAGUUUGUCAUAGCCGUGUAUUUGGAGAACUCCAAGCAGAUAAGCAUUUCUAGUACUAUAAAAGGGAGACACGCAUACCUACAUCAUAUAUAUAAAUGGCCGAGGCUGUUGUCUCUUUUGUUGUGGAAAAUAUUAGUGAUUUAUUGAAUGAAAAAGCUCAAAUUCUGAAUGCAGUGA